CUAGCGACAUCUAGUAAUGAGUUUUGAAUCUUAAGUUGGUUGCAGUCAGUCACAGACAGACGUGAUAUUACACGUCAAAAAAGUUUAACAACGGAGAUCGGAUAACAAGUUAACUGUUUUUAAAUAAUUUCAGCUGAAGUUUUCAUGUACCUGGCCAACUAGGUGCUCGUGACAAUAGAAAUGAAAUGGUCUAAUCCAAUAAUGCAAGCUCACAAGUCACAACCUAUGUCUUCUGAAGAAAAAUCAUUUCUGUUGCAGUUGUAAAUCUUCAAGAUAUUGAUGCCUUCGCCAGAUCCAAUUCUUUGUUGCUGAUGAGAGAGAGAAUUCAUCAUUUUGUGUGCAACAGUUUUGAUUAUUUUUAUUUCUAAUUUAAAUUUUGCUUUAGAUUUUGCAUUUAGACUGAAUGAUAACCAUUUUGUUGCCCAUCCAAGGAUAAGGAAAAGGCCAACACCACCAACACGUCAACUAGGUUCUUUGUUUGUUAACCCCCUUGGCUGGUGAAAGAUUGUUGUGCAUCAAGUUAACCUGUGGCUGUUCCUUGUUGCUGGUGUCUUGCUACAGAAGUUACAGGCAGUAUUUUGUUAAAUUUGCAUUAUGUCUGUAGAUUUACAGCUAGUUUAAGUCUUAGCUUCAUCUUCUUCUUCAUUCCAGUCUAAUUCACACAUGUAUUUUUUCAGCCAGUGUUGAAUUUGACGUGCACAAUUUUCUCAUUGGUAUAAGUAUGAUUAGGCU
rnacentral:lncRNA from 1 species